rnacentral:rRNA from 1 species
GACGAACGCUGGCGGCGUGCUUAACACAUGCAAGUCGAACGGAAAGGCCCUGCUUUUGUGGGGUGCUCGAGUGGCGAACGGGUGAGUAACACGUGAGUAACCUGCCCUUGACUUUGGGAUAACUUCAGGAAACUGGGGCUAAUACCGGAUAGGAGCUCCUGCUGCAUGGUGGGGGUUGGAAAGUUUCGGCGGUUGGGGAUGGACUCGCGGCUUAUCAGCUUGUUGGUGGGGUAGUGGCUUACCAAGGCUUUGACGGGUAGCCGGCCUGAGAGGGUGACCGGCCACAUUGGGACUGAGAUACGGCCCAGACUCCUACGGGAGGCAGCAGUGGGGAAUAUUGCACAAUGGGCGGAAGCCUGAUGCAGCAACGCCGCGUGCGGGAUGACGGCCUUCGGGUGGGAAACCGCUUUCGCCUGUGACGAAGCGUGAGUGACGGUAAUGGGGAAAGAAGCACCGGCUAACUACGG